rnacentral:pre_miRNA from 1 species
AUGCGUGCAUGGGGGCUCUCUUCUAGCUCCGAUUCUGAAAGGAGAUGAUGGUGCGACAUGGCUGCUAGUUCAUGAAUACCCUUUGGUGCGCAGGUCAGUUCUAUGUAGUUGGCAAAUGGCAAUGGUGAUGCGCAGCCUAAGAGUAAGCAUCUGCUGGGAGCUCUGUUUACCUUUGAUAUUCUUUUUGGUAUUGGGGCGAAGGAAGCUCCUAUAUUUACAUGU